GCCCGCCUAGCUCAAUCGGAUAGAGCGUCAGACUCUUAUAUAUCUGGGCGUAUGGUGAAAUCUGAAGGCUGCGAGUUCGACCCUCGCGGUGGGCU